rnacentral:ncRNA from 1 species
AUUUUACAUCUAUAGAGAAGGGUGACCUUCACCAACCAGCCAGACUUGGCAACGGUGGUUCAACGAUGUGGCUUUUGAAGCAACAAUAAAGUCAGAU